rnacentral:rRNA from 1 species
GAUGAACGCUGGCGGCGUGCCUAAUACAUGCAAGUCGAGCGAACAGACGAGGAGCUUGCUCCUCUGACGUUAGCGGCGGACGGGUGAGUAACACGUGGAUAACCUACCUAUAAGACUGGGAUAACUUCGGGAAACCGGAGCUAAUACCGGAUAAUAUAUUGAACCGCAUGGUUCAAUAGUGAAAGACGGUUUUGCUGUCACUUAUAGAUGGAUCCGCGCCGCAUUAGCUAGUUGGUAAGGUAACGGCUUACCAAGGCAACGAUGCGUAGCCGACCUGAGAGGGUGAUCGGCCACACUGGAACUGAGGCACGGUCCAGACUCCUACAGGAGGCAGCAGUAGGGAAUCUUCCGCAAUGGGCGAAAGCUUGACGGAGCAACGCCGCGUGAGUGAUGAAGGUCUUCGGAUCGUAAAACUCUGUUAUUAGGGAAGAACAAAUGUGUAAGUAACUAUGCACGUCUUGACGGUACCUAAUCAGAAAGCCACGGCUAACUACGUG